rnacentral:rRNA from 1 species
AUUGAACGCUGGCGGCAGGCUUAACACAUGCAAGUCGAGCGGGGGGAGGUAGCUUGCUACCUAACCUAGCGGCGGACGGGUGAGUAAUGCUUAGGAAUCUGCCUAUUAGUGGGGGACAACAUUUCGAAAGGGAUGCUAAUACCGCAUACGCCCUAAGGGGGAAAGCAGGGGAUCUUCGGACCUUGCGCUAAUAGAUGAGCCUAAGUCGGAUUAGCUAGUUGGUGGGGUAAAGGCCUACCAAGGCGACGAUCUGUAGCGGGUCUGAGAGGAUGAGCGCACACACUGGGACUGAGACACGGCCCAGACUCCUACGGGAGGCAGCAGUGGGGAAUAUUGGACAAUGGGGGGAACCCUGAUCCAGCCAUGCCGCGUGUGUGAAGAAGGCCUUUUGGUUGUAAAGCACUUUAAGCGAGGAGGAGGCUACCGAGAUUAAUACUCUUGGAUAGUGGACGUUACUCGCAGAAUAAGCACCGGCUAACUCUGUGCCAGCCGCCGCAGUAACAC